GAUGAACGCUAGCGGCAGGCUUAAUACAUGCAAGUCGAGGGACAGCACAGGUAGCAAUACUGGGUGGUAACCGGCAAACGGGUGCGGAACACGUACACAACCUUCCUUUAAGUGGGGGAUAGCCCAGAGAAAUUUGGAUUAAUACCCCGUAAUAUAGUUGAAUGGCAUCAUUUGAUUAUUAUAGCUACGGCGCUUAAUGAUGGGUGUGCGGCUGAUGAGAUAGUUGGCGGGGUAACGGCCCACCAAGUCUACGAUCAGUAGCUGAUGUGAGCGCAUGAUCAGCCACACGGGAACUGAGACAAGGACCCGAAUACUACGGGAGGCAGCAGUAAGGAAUAUUGGUCAAUGGACGCGAGUAUGAACCAGCCAUGCAGCGUGAAGGAUUAAGGUCCUCUGGAUUGUAAAAUUCUUUUAGUUAGGACGAAAAAGGGCCUUUCUAGGUCAACUGACGGUACCAGAUGAAUAAGCACCGGCUAACUCCGUGCCAGCCGCCGCGGUAAUAC
rnacentral:rRNA from 1 species